GGAAAAGCUGGUUCAGGUUGCUUCCUUCAUCCACGUUAAAAGGUCUCAGAUCCAUUUUCAUACUAAUGAUUUCGUAUUCAGUGCAUUGAAGGAUUUCUGACUCCUCUCUGCAGCAUUCAUCAAUUCCCAGAAGAUAAGCAAGACGGACCCCUCCUCCUCGUUUUCUUAGGUUUAAUUAGGCCCCUUUUUUGUUUCUUCUAAAUUCAUUUUUAACCAGGUUAGGUUACUAUAUUUAUCUCCUUAUCAUUAAUUUUUUUUAUAAUGCAUGUAUUUAUCUACUUUAAUUGCCUCAUUUUCUUUUCCCUUAUCAUUUCUAUUAUCCGACAGUCGCAUUGAUUCAUAAUGGCUUUUUAUCUGGUCAUGACUGCAAUGGGACAUUGAUUUCUGAUGCUUUGUUUGUUUUAAGCCUUGUCUUCAUUUGUUUUCAGUCUUGGCAUUUCCUGCAUGCUGGAGCUAGGAAGAUACAGAGGCCACAUUUUCAAGCUGACUUGGUUGCUUUCAUUGUCCUGAAUUCGUGAACUUUUUUGUCAGCUUCUCCCUUCCACAAAGAUAAACCAAAAAACAAAGGUCAGGAUCCAUUUUUUCUCUCAAAGGCCCAUUUCUCUUGCCCCGGUUUAUAUUUUGCAAUACUCAGGCUAAGGUGUUCAAGUUCGGGUCAUUAUAUUAUCUUCUUUCAGAAGAAAAACUUCUGUCGUUUUUAGAUUAUGAAUUUGAUGGCUUCCCAUUAGAGGUAGUUUGAUUGGAAAGAAAAUUUGCUUAGAUAGGAUUUGCACAGGACUGGAAAAAGAACUAUGCUUUGGGUUACCAUUUCAUGUUUAUUGGAGAUUUAGGAAACUGCUUGUGGCAUUUAAUUAUGGUGAUCUCCGAUGUGUAUUCAUUGGAGAAUUAUUUAUGACUUCAGGAACACCUUUGCUGUCUCCAUCUGAAUCUCUGUUUGUGCCAAAUUCUCAUUCCCAUUCUCAUCAUUCAUCCCUGGGAAUCAGUUCGUUGGGUUUUCUCUGUGAAAAUGAAUCCUCUUCUUCUACCAAUUUGGAGGAUGAUGCACAAGGCAAUCUGAUCAGUGUGAAGGAAGGGGGUGACAAGAAUCACAUUUCCCCUGUUCAUAAUAGAGGCCUCUCAGAGGAACUGACUGAGAAUUCUGCUUCUGUUGCAAAAUCCCAAGAGAUACAUCUGGCUGGGAUUCAGUUCCAUAAUCGGCAGUUUCCUUUGGAAUGCCCCCCCGCCAGAGAGGAAGAAACGCUUCGUUUCGUGGGGUGGUGCUUUGGAUAUUCAACACGGUUCCAAACACGCUGAGAUCUCUGGGGCUUCACCUCAAGCGGUUUCUUCUUGG
rnacentral:lncRNA from 1 species